GAGACGAAGUCUCGCUCUAUUGCCCAGCCUGGCGCGUAGUGGUGCGAUCUCAGCUCACUGCAACCUCUGCCUCCCAGGUUCAAGCAAUUCUCCUGCCUCAGCCUCCUGAGUAGCUGGGACUACAGGCAUGCGCCAACACGCCCGGCUAAUUUUUUGUAUUUUUUAGUAGAGACAGGGUUUCACCCUGUUAGCCAGAAUAGUCUCCAUCUCCUGACCUCAUGAUCCUCCUGCCCUGGCCUCCCAAAGUGCUGGGAUUACAGGCGUGAGCCACCACCCCCGGCCAAAAAAGUGCCUUUUAAAAGUGAUUGUGUGCUGCUCAUAUGGAAGGAAAUUUGACAACAUCUAAUAAAACUACAUAUGCAUUUACUCUUUGACCAGCAAUCAUUCUUCUAGGAAUUUACUCUAAAGCUACAUCUCCAUAAUAAUUCCCAUUUACAGAAGGUCGACUAAAGCAAGAUCCAACCAUACAACAGAGUACUAUGCAGCCAUUUAAGAAACUGGCCAUAAUAAUAGUCAAAAAGAUGCCUAUGAACUAAUGUAGAAUGAUUUCUGGAAUAUAUUCUUAAGUAAACAAACAAAAAUACAAGGUGCAAAGGAGUAUAUAUACUACAUUUUCUGUAAGUAAGAAUAUUAAAUAUAUACAAGUUUGCUUAUAUAUGCAAGAAGAAACAUAUAAAGAAUGAGCCAGAAUGAAUAAAUGUGGUUAGCUACAUAGGUAUGGUUGGAAGAGAGCAGAAGGAAUAGGAAUGAGAGCAAGAUUUUGCAGUACAGGGGAUACAUGUUUAUACAUUUUUUGUGUGGUUUAAAAAAACAAUUAUUUAUUUUUUAUUUUUUUAAUAUAUGGAGAUGAGGGUCUCAGUUUGUUGCCCAGGCUGGUCUCGAACUCCUGGAUUCAAGGGAUCCUCCGGCCUCGGCCUCCCAAAUUGCUAGGAUUACAGGUCAGGAGAUCAAGACAUAUUGGCCAACAUGGUGAAACCCCAUCUCUAGUAACAUACAAAAAAUUGCUGGGCAUGGUGGCACGUGCCUGUAAUCCCAGCUACUCAGGAGGCUGAGGCAGGGCAAUCGCUUGAACCCAGGAGGCAGAGGUUGCAGUAAGCUGAGAUCGCGCCACUGCACUCGAGCCUGGUGACAGAGCAAGACUCCAACAACAACAACAACAACAACAACAACAACAACAAAAGAUAAUAAUCACAUGGUCUGUAAAUAUCACUACACAGAUUAAUUAAAAAGGGAAAAUGUUCCUUUACAAUGAGGAGAGCUAGAAGACUACACCUUAAGCAUGUUCAAAUUUAGCAAAACCAGUAAUAAAACCUGACUUUAUUGCCACCUGAUGUGAUACAAUAAAUACACAUCAUCACCCACACCAAAUACUUCAGCACAAAAAGGAAUAUCAUAAUACCUACAACUUUCAAAUGGUUCAGUAAAUGUGGCAAAAUGCCAACAACUGGUGAGUAAAAGUGAAGAGUAUAAGGAUGUUAAUUGUACUAGUUUUUCAACUUUUCUAUAGAUUUGGAAUUUUGUAAAAUAAGAGUUGGGGAAGAAAAAGUGUGUAGGAUGAUUUGAGGACAGAAUUGACUGGGUGAUAGUUAUUAAAGAUUCCACCGUUUUAAUUUCACCAUAUAAAAAUUAUGCCACACUACUAAAACAACUAAACCUGAUUAAAUUUUUACCUUCAACUGAG
rnacentral:lncRNA from 10 species